rnacentral:piRNA from 1 species
UACGUUUCUGGAAGAAAAGGAU